rnacentral:rRNA from 1 species
CAGCAGCCACGGUAAUACGUAAGGUGCGAGCGUUAAUCGGAAUUAUUGGGCGUAAAGGGCUCGCAGGCGGUUUCUUAAGUCUGAUGUGAAAGCCCCCGGCUCAACCGGGGAGGGUCAUUGGAAACUGGGAAACUUGAGUGCAGAAGAGGAGAGUGGAAUUCCACGUGUAGCGGUGAAAUGCGUAGAGAUGUGGAGGAACACCAGUGGCGAAGGCGACUCUCUGGUCUGUAACUGACGCUGAGGAGCGAAAGCGUGGGGAGCGAACAGGAUUAGAUACCCCCGUAGUCCCUGUCUCUUAUAU